rnacentral:lncRNA from 1 species
CCUCCCAAAGAACUGUCACUGAGAUUCCUGUCCACAAAUGCCUCUUGACCACAGGAACAGUGUCUGGUUUGGUUUCUGCAGAUAGGAUGGAUCCCCAGGAUGCAGGUUAGAUUCUCAGCAGCAACAUGGCGGCUCACACCUGUCUGUAACUCCAGCUCUAACGCCAAAGGAGGCUACAAGCGCAGGAAAAAAUAUGGCAAACAGAGAUGGCUCAGUCAGUAAAGUUGUGAGACCUUUCUGGAAUGUGAACUCUGCUGCCAAUGAGCGUGGGAGAGAAGAGAUAUCAUAGACUGAAGCCAGGAUGGCUCCAGAAAGGCUUCGAUCCCAGGGAUUCCUACUCCUGGGAUUCAUAGCAUAGCCAGUGUAAUCAUACUGGCAAACCUCAGCCCCAGUGCUUGACUCUCAUGGUCACCUCGGCCAUUCGAAGGGAGCUCAGCAGUCCAGCUGGAGCCUUAUGCUUCCCAGUUCCAGAGACUUUCAGUGGGCUGAGAGACCAGGAAGUGGCAGCCUCUCCAGACCACCUGGAGACCUGGUAAAGAAGAUCUCACUGGGGCCUUCAGAAAUAUAGUGGGACUCUAUGGAAUAAGUACUCCUACACUGUUGUGUGUUCCUGAUGCUGUUUGAAUUCUGAUAUUCUGCUUCCCCAAGAGAGGUUCUGCCCAACCAGCAGUCAAUCUCAUGCGAUCUCAUGUGAACCUUCUCCCAAGCCUGCAGAGGCCAGAAGGAAGUGCUGGAUCCCUUAGAGUAACAGAGAGUUGAAGCACCACGAGAAUGCUGGGCAUCAACGAGAAUGCUGGGCAUCAAACCCAGGUACUGUAGCAAGUUUAAUAACGGA